rnacentral:rRNA from 1 species
GCUUGUCUCAAAGAUUAAGCCAUGCAUGUGUAAGAACAGCGACUCUCGUGAAUCUGCGAACGGCUCCGUAUAUCUGUUGUCACCCGCCAUCAUCCGCCCGGGGAUGCCAAUACCCCCGGCAACGGAUAACCUCGGUAAUUCUGUGGCUAAUACGUGUACGAAAGGGGACCCCCGGGCAACUGGGGGCCUCCGGCCUUGCCGCUAAUAAAUGCGCCGGGUUAACUCCCGAUACGCAUGAUGCAGGCAAGUGUCCCUGCCGAUCCUUUAUGGGUCGGAGUGCAUGACGGGCUUCAGACCUAUCAACUAGACGGCCGGGGAUAGCCCGGCCGUGGUGACGACGGGUACAGAGGAUCAGGGUUCGAUCCUGGAGAGGUAGCCUGAGAGAUCGCUACUACUUCUAAGGAAGGCAGCAGG